rnacentral:rRNA from 1 species
UGGGUAACCUGCCCAAGAGAUCGGGAUAACACCUGGAAACAGACGCUAAUACCGGAUAACAACAGAUGAUGCCUAUCAACUGUUUAAAAGAUGGUUCUGCUAUCACUCUUGGAUGGACCUGCGGUGCAUUAGCUAGUUGGUAGGGUAACGGCCUACCAAGGCGAUGAUGCAUAGCCGAGUUGAGAGACUGAUCGGCCACAUUGGGACUGAGACACGGCCCAAACUCCUACGGGAGGCAGCAGGU